GUCAAGGCCCAUUGAUGCCCGCUUUCGGUCUUGCAGAUUUCUCAAGCGAUAACGUCACCGGAAGUGACAUCAGUGAGCCGGAAAUGCUCCCUUAAAGGCAUCAAGAAGCGAGCGAUUCAAAACUCAGCGCUGCCGACAGAAAAAGGGUCUGGAGCAAUACUGUUCUCCAUAGGAGCAUAGUGAUCUGCAGCUGGUAGCUGUCUUAAACAGCUACGUUUCAGCUUCAGAUUGAGGUUUCAUUGCUUGCACUAAGACAGAGAGAAAGAGAAAAAAGGGUAGGGUCAGCUAGCAACCAUGGAGGGUGUGGGCAAGCAUGAGACAUGCAGUUCUGCAGCUCAUAGGGCAGCUGAAUGCAUUUGGAGAAGAUCCUUUGCCCUCAUACAUAUACAGAACCUUCCAGACACCUGAUGGUAAAGGGACAGAGUAUUGCCAUCAUUUCUUUCUAAACAGCAUGACCAGUUUUACUCUAUUGGACAGUGGAUGGCGAGCGCACUUUGCUCCAGAAAGGCUCUUUCUGGCCAAAACAAAACAUCAGAGUUCAAAAAUACAAAACAAUUGAGUUCAUGGCAUUACUGACUCUGAGU